UACGUAGGGUGCGAGCGUUGUCCGGAAUCAUUGGGCGUAAAGAGCGUGUAGGCGGUCCGGUAAGUCCGCUGUGAAAGUCGGGGGGCUCAACCCUCGAAUGCCGGUGGAUACUGUCGGGCUAGAGUGCGGAAGAGGCGAGUGGAAUUCCUGGUGUAGCGGUGAAAUGCGCAGAUAUCAGGAAGAACACCCGUGGCGAAGGCGGCUCUCUGGGACGGUACUGACGCUGAGACGCGAAAGCGUGGGGAGCGAACAGG
rnacentral:rRNA from 1 species